GUAGUUGGUAGGGUAACGGCCCACCAAGCCAACGACGGAUAGCUGGUCUGAGAGGAUGAUCAGGCACAUUCUAACUGUGACUCGGUCCAGACUCCUACGGGAGGCAGCAUUGAGGAAUAUUGCGCAAUGGGCGAAAGCGUGGCGCAGCCACGCCGCGUGGAUGAUGAAGUUCUUCAGAAUGUAAAAUCCUUUUGCUGGAGACGAAUAGGUCGGCUUGCCGACUCUGAC
rnacentral:rRNA from 1 species